ensembl:snRNA U6 U6 spliceosomal RNA
GUGCUCUCUACGGCAGCACAUAUACUAAAAUUGGAACGAUAGAGAGAAGAUUAGCAAGGCCCCUGCGUGAGGAUGACAUGCAACUUGUGAAGUGUUCCAUAUUUUU